rnacentral:rRNA from 1 species
GAACGAACGCUGGCGGCAGGCCUAAAACAUGCAAGUCGAACGAACCUUGGAGUUAGUGGCGCACGGGUGAGUAACGCGUGGGAAUAUGCCUCUUGGUGCGGAACAACGUCUGGAAACGGACGCUAAUACCGCAUAAUAUCUAAGGAUCAAAGAUUUAUCGCCAAGAGAUUAGCCCGCGUCUGAUUAGGUAGUUGGUAGGGUAAAGGCCUACCAAGCCGACGAUCAGUAGAUGGUCUGAGAGGAUGAUCAUCCACACUGGUACUGAGACACGGACCAGACUCCUACGGGAGGCAGCAGUGAGGAAUAUUGCGCAAUGGAGGAAACUCUGACGCAGCCAUGCCGCGUGUGUGAAGAAGGCCUUAGGGUUGUAAAGCACUUUCAGAUGUGAGGAUAAUGACAGUAGCAUCAGAAGAAGCCCCGGCUAAAUUCGUGCCAGCAGCCGCGGUAAUACGAAUGGGGCAAGCGUUGUUCGGAAUAACUGGGCUUAAAGCGUGCGCAGGCGGAUAUGAAAGUCAGAAGUGAAAUCCCAGGGCUCAACCCUGGAACAGCUUUUGAAACUUCAUGUCUAGAAUCCGGUAGAGGUCAAGAGAAUUCCUAGUGUAGAGGUGAAAUUCGCAGAUAUUAGGAGGAAUACCAGUGGCGUAGGCGCUUGACUGGACCGGUAUUGACGCUCAUGUACGAAAGCGUGGGGAGCAAACAGGAUUAGAUACCCUGGUAGUCCACGCCGUAAACGAUGUAUGCUAGUUGUUGGAGUCUUUAGGCUUCAGUGACGCAGAGAAAUCAUUAAGCAUACCGCCUGGGGAGUACGGUCGCAAGAUUAAAACUCAAAGGAAUUGACGGGGACCCGCACAAGCGGUGGAGCAUGUUGUUUAAUUCGAAGCAACGCGAAGAACCUUACCUACACUUGACAUACUCGUCGGGAUUUCCAGAGAUGGAUUUCUUCGGUUCGGCCGGGGAGUGAAUAGGUGCUGCAUGGCUGUCGUCAGCUCGUGUCGUGAGAUGUUAGGUUAAGUCCUGCAACGAGCGCAACCCUUAUCGUAUGUUGCCAUCAUUAAGUUGGGAACUCAUGCGAGACUGCCGGUGUUAAGCCGGAGGAAGGUGGGGACGACGUCAAGUCAUCAUGGCCCUUACGUGUAGGGCUACAAACGUGCUACAAUGGCUACUACAGUGGGCAGCAAGGUCGCGAGGCCAAGCUAAUCCUUAAAAAACGUCUCAGUUCAGAUUGUACUCUGCAACUCGAGUACAUGAAGUUGGAAUCGCUAGUAAUCGCAAAUCAGCAUGUUGCGGUGAAUACGUUCCCGGGUCU